rnacentral:rRNA from 1 species
UACGUAGGUGACAAGCGUUGUCCGGAUUUACUGGGCGUAAAGAGCGCGCAGGCGGUCGUUCAAGUCGAGUGUGAAAGCCCCCGGCUCAACUGGGGAGGGUCACUCGAUACUGAUCGACUCGAAGGCAGGAGAGGGAAGUGGAAUUCCCGGUGUAGUGGUGAAAUGCGUAGGAUAUCGGGAGGAACACCAGUGGCGAAGGCGACUUCCUGGCCUGUUCUUGACGCUGAGGCGCGAAAGCUAGGGGAGCAAAGCGGGG